rnacentral:rRNA from 1 species
UACCAGCACCCCGAGUGGUCGGGACGUUUAUUGGGCCUAAAGCAUCCGUAGCCGGUUCUACAAGUCUUCCGUUAAAUCCAGCUGCUUAACAGAUGGGCUGCGGAAGAUACUAUGGAGCUAGGAGGCGGGAGAGGCAAGCGGUACUCGAUGGGUAGGGGUAAAAUCCGUUGAUCCAUUGAAGACCACCAGUGGCGAAGGCGGCUUGCCAGAACGCGCUCGACAUUGAGGCAUGAAAGCGUGGGGAGCAAAACGG